GACUCGGCAGCACAAUGGUGUGCGUCUGCUCGAUUUGGGCCCUUCAACUUGUGUUCGGUCAGGCAAAAGAUCGGGUUCGAAUCCCGGCUGGGUCA